CCAAUAGCGUAUAUUAAAGUUGUUGCAGUUAAAAAGCUCGUAGUUGAAUUUCGGGGUUCUACCGUUGGUCGGGCUAACCAGUCUGUACUAGCGUGUAGAAUUCCUACCUUCUGGGGAACCAUCAUGUUAUUAAUUUAGCGUGGUGGGAAACCAGGACCUUUACCUUGAAAAAAUUAGAGUGUUCAAAGCAGGCUUACGUCUGAAUCCAUUAGCAUGGAAUAAUAGAAUAGGACGGUGGUCCUGUUUUGUUGGUUUCUGAAUCACCGUAAUGAUUAAUAGGGAUAGUUGGGGGCAUUAGUAUUCAAUUGUCAGAGGUGAAAUUCUUGGAUUUAUUGAAGACUAACUUCUGCGAAAGCAUUUGCCAAGGAUGUUUUCAUUAAUCAAGAACGAAAGUUAGGGGAUCGAAGACGAUCAGAUACCGUCGUAGUCUUAACCAUAAACUAUGCCGACUAGGGAUCGGACGAUGUUAAAUUUUAUUGACUCGUUCGGCGCCUUACG
rnacentral:rRNA from 1 species